ensembl:lncRNA
UGACAAAGUCACCCAAAAAAAAACAGGGACUGAGACAAGACAAACUGACCCUUGAAAGAUCUGUUUAAAUUUGCACACACAAAGAUAGAAAUAUGAAUGCUGUGUGCUGAAGUGCUUACAGUGCCAUUUCACUUGUUAGCAGGUGUUUCUUUGUGUGUGUGUAUAAGAGAAAGUUUUGGACACCUCUUACCGUACAAUGGUGUUGACAGGCCUCUGAUUGCUCAUUACAUCGACUCAUCCCUACUGCUUCUCCUUUGCCCUCUGUUCCUGACACCACUCAUCUGGAAUUCUGAUGAUUCAGCGACUGUCGAACGGAUGGUUUGACAACGUCUGGAACUUGAUCCAGGGUGGUGGUCCAGACCAGUGGGGUUCUCCAACCUCUAAACUGACCUAGUUCAAGGUCAUCCCCUGGGCACGGAGGUGGAGGUGACCCUAGAAUUUCCCUAGGUAGCACCUACUAGGCCAAACACCUGUCUGGGAAAGCUGUAAAACUUGGAGGGAACAAUGGCAUGUAGUAACAUUACAUUUUACACAAUGUUCUCCCCCAAUACUGUACAGAUCAGUUGGAAGAACACAUUGAACCUACCUAUGCGGGACUCCAGGGGAAAUGUAUCAUCCCAGCAGGGAUCAAGCUUAAGCCAAUUGACCCUGAGAUUUCAUACUCGCCAUUCCAUUGGUCCUUGACCUCUGUAUAUAGCAUCCCAGUAGUCCCUGGAGUCCAUACUCACCAUCCAAUUUGUCUUGGGAGUCCUUCCUCACCAUCCCAUUGGUCUUGGAGUCCAUACUCACCAUCCAAUUGGUCUUGGGAGUGAAUACUGUCUGAAAACCACACAGAAAACAUGUUACUCAUGUGUACAAGCUGUCCGUGUCUCAUACAACAAAUGAAUGCAUAACGAAAUGUGACCACGAUCAUACGGUUGUCAGUAGGCUCUAUUGUGACGACACCGUUUAUAAUGAUCGACGCAUCGACGUGUUGACCACGCCUCAAUUGACAAACUCCACCAUCUGAAUCUCUUGUUCAUUUAGUGUAUUCACUGUUCAUUUAUAGAAAACAUGUUUUUAGAUUAAUUGCAAUUGCCAGCUUCUAAUCAGCGAUCUAGUGUGGUUGUACAGUACUAACUAAACACAUUAGCCAGCCAACGUUUGUGUCAUUAGUUCUACUAUGUUUAAGAAAAAGAACGUAGGUUAACUAAGUUUCACCCGAAACUAUUGUUUAUAACCGAUUACUAUGACUUGAGUAAACUACGGUAACGUAUGCUGAAGUUCAAUUUAUCCUUUUCGCUUGGACUGGCGAUCAAGUGAACAAUUGGUAACAUGGGGUCCCUGGAAUGACUACUUGCGGUGAGGGUCCCUUGAAAAAAGAAUUAAAGAGCCCUGUUAUGCUUAAAAGGUCCCAGAGUUACAUUUAAAAAAUUUUUUUUAGAGAUAUAUCCAGUAUAGGUGUGUGGUGGUCUGAGAAGGACACUCCCGACG